rnacentral:misc_RNA from 1 species
CUGAAUUGUCAACAAGAGUUGUUGCUGGUCCCCAAAUGGGGACACGUGCACGCUCUGUUAACACAUCCACUCACACCUGUGCACCCUCUGUAGUUCUAUGGUUGGGGGGGACCCGUCUUCUCCUGCUGUGGUUCUGCAUCUUUACAUACACACUGUAACAAAGUCUCAUGGAAUGCAUGCCGCGUUUAACGCAAUAAAAUA